rnacentral:rRNA from 1 species
UUGAAAUGUUUGUGAAGAUGCAAUCUCCCCGCGGCUAGACGGAAAGACCCCAUGAACCUUUACUGUAGCUUUGCAUUGGACUUUGACGGGACUUGUGUAGGAUAGGUGGGAGGCUUUGAAACCGGGACGCCAGUUCCGGUGGAGCCAACCUUGAAAUACCACCCUGGUGUCGUCGAGGUUCUAACCCAGGCCUGUGAAUCCAGGUCGGGGACCGUGCAUGGUGGGCAGUUUGACUGGGGCGGUCUCCUCCCAAAAGGUAACGGAGGAGUACGAAGGUCACCUAGGUACGGUCGGACAUCGUACUGAUAGUGCAAUGGCAAAAGGUGGCUUGACUGCGAGACCCACAAGUCGAGCAGGUGCGAAAGCAGGUCAUAGUGAUCCGGUGGUUCUGUAUGGAAGGGCCAUCGCUCAACGGAUAAAAAGGUACUCUGGGGAUAACAGGCUGAUUCCGCCCAAGAGUUCACAUCGACGGCGGAGUUUGGCACCUCGAUGUCGGCUCAUCACAUCCUGGGGCUGUAGCCGGUCCCAAGGGUAUGG